AAAGAAGCAGGGCCACUGUGGGAUGGCUGACCAGGGGCGGGUACUCACCGUGUUGUAGACAGAGUAAGCUGCAAGCACGUUGAAGAGGGCUUGCUGCCUGGAAAGGGGACAAUGAGGCUCACUAUAAACACCUUCCACUGGUCAAGUGUGUGGUGCGUGUGGGACACUGGAUGGAGCAAGGAUUGCUAAUGUAGGACAGAGCGACAAAAUUGCGGGUUCCAUCCCACUUUUCUUUUAUAAAUGAUAUGAAUUGUUUAAAAAAGUAGACAGACAUCAAAAUGAGGUGUCAUUUUGACUCAUCUGACUCUCACUCCAUCCUUCUGUGUCCUGGUCCAGCCUGCUCUCUGCUGCCCAGUGCCCCUCCCAUCCCUGCAGGGGCCUGUUGACUUCUGAGGGCACAGCCAUCCUCCCUCAGGGCCACCCCAGCCCUGUGUGCUCCCACUCCUGCAGGUGCUCUGCACGGGCCCCACUCUCACCACCUCAGGUCCAGCCCUCGCCAUCAUGCCUCCUCUCCCCCAGGAUCCCCGGGCCACCACACCCCUGCUCCCCUGCUCUCCUGCCCCAGGACCAGUGGCCCAACAUCCUCACUUGAUGCCGUAACGCUCCCUGAACAUAAUAUUGUUUUGGAAGGUGUAGCUCACAUCCAUGUCGAUAAAUUUGAUGUCCAGAGAGUAGAGCCUGGCCUGCUCUUUCAUUCUCUGUGGGUAGAGCCGGGGGUGGGGGGGUGGCAAAGUCAGAGGCCUGGAACCCUAACCAGCAGAGCAGGCACUGCCAGCUCAACAUGAGUGUUUCUAGAGAAACCUUUCUUUUGCUUGUUUCGGAAGCCAGGCAGGAUCACAAGGGUGACCAGGUCACAGCCUGUGCCCAGAAGCCCUGUGGAUAAUCAGCCUGUGGCUUCUCCAGUCCCAGACCCCCACCCAAUGGUGACACACUGGCCAGGCCACCAGAUCCCCUCCUCCCCCACCCCACACAAGGCAGUCUAGGAUGACAGUGCCUCUGCCCUGGCGAUGGGCUUGUCCCCUGGGAGGCUGCUCCCAGGUGUGUGUGUCCCAGGGCAGUGGGAUGCUGAGAGGGCAACUGGGCCUCUGUCCCUUGACCCCUCUGAGUCCCACCACACACAGGCUGGGUGAGGCAGAGGGCCAGAAGGGGAGCCCAUGCCUUAUUUUCAGGGCCUUUUGAGAGCCUGAGGACUAAGUGUGAUGCUGGCUCUUUUCCCACAGUGUCAGUGGGUGUUCACCAUGCUCGGGGGCCUCUCAGAUCACCCAUCAUUGAGCAACUUGGACACCUGUGGCCACUAUCACACCCGCUCCCUUGCACUUCUCCUGAUGAUGCCGCUCAGCCGGGUGCAUAGAGCACCCACCCUGGGCUGUGGGACUUAGGGUGCCCACGGUGCAGAUGGGGGCUGAGUGGCAGGAACUGGCCAUGGGUAGGGACCUCUCUUGGUUAAUGGAUUGAGACCUGUUUCUUGACCCAGGUCAGUCAGGGCUGUGUUCAUCUGGCCGGGUGGUCUCUAUCCAUGGUUUCUGUGGGGUCACCUUGCUCUUUCCUCUUGGCUUCUGUCCCUUGCCCUGUGACUCUGUCCCCCUCAGGGGUAUGGGAGGCCUUAGUGUCAUGCUAGGUGGCACCUGUGCAACCCUGGACUCAGUGUCUGCAUGGUUGGCAUGGCUUUCCUGGCAGGUGGGCCCUGGGCCUAUAAGCCUGGGAGGUGCCAGGAAAUCUGGGGACAGGUGAGGGUCCCUGAGGCACAGGUGGAGGGGCCAUACCUGGUAUUUCCCUUGGUUCUCUGCCUUCACCUUCUCCAGGUCCAACAGCAGAGACCAUGCCUGUCCUCUCACCUGUGGGGGGAUCCCCUUGUAGACCCGCCGGCGCAUCUGCAGACCCUUGCCAGCAGCCUGGAGAUCUUGUCACAAUGAGAUGAGGAGGAAAAAGAAGGCGGCCAGGAGGCCAAGGCCAGCAGCUGUCCUGCAGCACCGGGGUGUGAGCUCCCUGGGCCAGGGGAGCUGAGGGAAGGGAAGCUGCCAGCUGUGGAGGGCCUCACAGGCUCAUAGGACUCAUAUUUUGCUUAGGCAUCAAAAGCCCAGGGAACAAAAGAUAAACAUUGAUAAAGUGGACUUGAUUAAAUUUAAAACAGCGGUGCCUCAAGUGACAAGUGACACUGUCAAGAAAAUGACAACCCACACAAUGAAUAAAAAUGUGAGACUGACUUGACAGAUAAGAGCCCAGUAUACAGAAUAUGGCCAAACUCCUUAUUCCACUAUAGAAAUGGCCCAAGUAGACAUUGGGCAGAGGGCCUGAAUAGACAUUCCUGCAAAAUCAAGGCCAAAGGGCACAGGAGACCAAUCUCAACAUUAGCAUCAGGGGGAUGCAAAUCAAAGCCAGCAGAGGACCAAACUUUUCACCCACUGGAGUGGCUGUUACUGAUCAAAUGAGGAUGUGGAAAAGCUGGCACCUUCCUGUUUGGCUGGCAGGAUUGUAAAAUGGGGCAAUUUCUUUGGAAAACCAGGCCUUUCUCCAAAAGUUAAAUGAAGAGUUGCCACAUGAUACAGCAGGUCCUUUCCCAGGUAUACACCCAAGAGAGAGGAAGACAGGGACACAGAUAGAUGUACAUGCACAUUCAUAGCAGAGCUACUCCCAAGAGCAAAAAGAGGGCCCCAUCUAAGUAGCCCUGGACAGGUGGCUGGAGGACCAGGAUGUGGUGGUACAUCAUUCAACCAGAAAAAGAGGGAAACACUGCCACGUGCUGCAACAUGGAUGGAUUUGAUGCUCAGGAAAGAAAGCAGACACGGAGACCACAUGCUGUGAAGUUCCAUGGAGGUGCUGUGUCCAGCAGAGCCAAGCCCAGACAGAAAAAGGAAUUCAGGGAAGAUAAUGAUGUGGACUCUAAGCUCCUGGCUUUGACAUGACUCAGGCCAGCUAUGGACCACCCAGGGUUUCCAAGAAAGUACUCAUGUGGACUCUAAGCCCUUGAAGUUUGACUUGACUCAGGCCAGCAAUGUGCCACCCAGGCCUCACCACACUGCCGGAUUUCACCAGGUCCAAGCAUCAAACCAGGAGCUCACUCAGGAGAAAUUCUACCUGCCAUGAAUAUUCUUAAUCUCUGUUCACAAUCAAGAUUCAAAUUUCUUCAGAUAAAAGGACAUCCAUACUCAACUGGAAAAUUCUCAAAAAAUUGGAAAGUCAUAUUUUUCUGAAAGAAUGACAUAAAUAAAAUUUUCUGCGAGUAUGGAAACAGUUCAUGGUCCAAUGAGGGCGCAUGUAUCUGGCCCUUUUGUGACUGAGAUGACAUCCGUGCAUGAAGGACAAGGGAGAAGCCAUCACCACCCAGAAUAUGGCUUGGAUAACUGUCUCCUUAUGUAGGUAACCCAGGAACUGUAUUUAUACAUAAGAUUCUGAACUAGGCUUUUCAUUUUGCAGGAGUUAAUUGGUGGUGUGAGAAUUUAGUUUUCUAAAUGUUCCUCCAUCUGACUCUCAUGAUCAGCCAAGUUAGUUUGUGAUGGCCAAGAUAUGUGGAGAUCAACUCUAUGAUGUAAUACUCUUUUUGAAUACUUUCAUAUUUAAAGAUCUGGAGUAAACUUACCUUCUCUAACAUCAGGUAUACUUAGAAACUAAUUUCAAGUGUAACAAUUUAGGGAUUUUUUUAAAUUAUUUUUUGCAGAUAUUUCUAAAUUUGGGGGGGAUAUUUUUGGCAGAUAUUUCUAAAUCUCAUGAUAGGUUCAAUUGAGAUGUUCUCUAAGCAGUGCUGGUUAAUCUGAUAAACUCCAGAAGGUGAUGUGGCAUCUAUAGCACUUAACUGAGUGACUUUUUAAUUCUGUAGUAAGGAGGCUGUUACUUCCAUUCUUUUUUGCUGUUGUUGUUCACACCUGAAUUUCAGCAUCCUAUUAUGUUUCUUGGCCAUUUAAUUGUUUUCUUUACAUGUUUUAUAGAUAAAUAGAUGAUAUAUAGAUAGAUGGAUAGAUAGAUGAUAGAGAUAUAUAUAGUUUAAAUGUUUUUUAAUUUUUAUU